ACUAUAUUUUACCCCCUUUUACACCUACGGCCAUCUUCAGGAUGGAUAUGAGCCCCUUGAAGACAAAGGCUGGAAUUACUGAACACAUCUCAUUGCCAUCUGCUGCCAGUUAACAUAACUCAGGGAGCCUACGUGGACACACAUUGAGGCUGGAGAGCGAGGUUCUCGUCUCAUGAAGUUGAAGAAUGAAUCUCCAGGACAAAGGAGAACUUGUCCAGACUCAAACCCUCCCCCUGCUGCCUGGAGGUGACUUAUUCCUAGAACCCUCCUGUUAAGAAAGACCAAUCAGCCUUGGGGACAGAGCUACAGAAUGGGAACUGGAGCCAGAGUGACUUGCGUAUUUAAGAUGUACAUAGAUGCGGGCAGCCCCGGUGGCGCAGCGGGUGAUCCUGGAGACCCUGGAUCGAGUCCCACGUCAGGCUCUCUGUAUGGUGCCUGCUUCUCCCUCUGCCUGUGUCUCUGCCUCUCUCUCUGUCUCUAUAAAUAAAUAAAAUCUUAAAAAAAAAAAAAGAUGUACAUAGAUGCUAGUGGGUAAUUUUACCUGGAAAGAUAUUUAAUCAUUCUUUAGAUGGUUCCUAAUAAUUCCAUUAUCCUUUCUUCUACCUUCUCAAAGACACCCACCUAUACACCUACCAAGAGCAAAGACCCAGCUGCAAGAAAGAGGUG
rnacentral:lncRNA from 12 species